CUGCAAAUUCAGGGAGCCCUUCUGAGUCUUAACGAGGGCUUGAAUAUACUUUCAGAGAAAUGUCAGCAAAAACUGUAGUCAUUUGGGGAAGAAUAAGUCUGGAAGAAAAAUACACAGAGGACUAGCACCGAGAGGGUUCGAGCCCCGAGUCAGGCCCUGCACUCACAGUGCCACCCAGACACCCCUGCAGCUUCCAGCUUUCAAGUAGGUGAAUAAGAUGUGUGCCCAACACCACCCAGCCAACAAGGAACAAAGCCAGGAUUUAAAUUUAGACAGUUGCAGCUCAGAGCCUACAUUCUUUCUCCUCACCCUGAAGGGAAGUGGGAGAAGGAGUGUUUGUGUUUGGGUGGGGGGUGGGAUUUGAACAUAGAUAUAUAUUAUCUUAUAUCCAAGAUCAAUCUGUCUCUUCUUCCUCUGCCUUCUACGACAUCCUUACUCAUCUACUCAAGGACUUUAUAACUGCUGUGUCACAAAUCACCUCAAAACUUGGUGGCUUAAGACAACAAUCAUACAGCAUUGCUCACAACUCUAAAGCGGUGAGAGAUUUAGACAUGAACAGAGCUCCACUGGACUUGAAUUGCUUUGAUAAAUCUCAGCUCAUGAUGGUGACAAUCCUGAGGAUAUAGGAAAGUCAUUUCCCCUGCAGGAAGAAAAAAAAUAUCCUAUAGGAGAGAGGAGUAUGCCAAGAAGCCAAAAAAGGAUCCCUGAAGAUUUCAACUGAAAUGGAAAAAAAAAGCAUCAUGAAAAUGAUCCUGCCCCAAGCUGAAUGCUAAGUUCUGCCACCAACUGUGCAGAAACUCAAAUACUUGUGUCCUUAGAAAUACCCCAGCCUCCGGAAGGUCACUGGCCAUGUGCUUGGUGGCUAUGUGAAAACCACCAACCAUUUGUGCCUGUGUCCUCAUGACUUAACUUUUUAACUCACAAAAUGUAGGAAUGCCUGGUGAGUUUUUGCUUGCUUUUUCUAUUUGUUUAGACAACUUUCGAACAGCAUCAAAAAAUAUUAAAUUAAAUGGAAAAAUUGCACAUAUAUCACCCUUAUAACAUCAUGUUUUUAUUCCUUUUUGUUUUUAAUUCAUUCAACCAAUGUCAU